AUCCAACUGACGAGUCCCAAAUAGGAUGAAGUGACGCGCAUCAAAAUGGAU
rfam:Schistosoma mansoni, Puerto Rico, WGS project CABG01000000 data, contig: 0612